UUUCUUAAAACUGAAACGCGAACUCGAUACAAAGGCUCGAUAAUUAAGUAGUUAAUACUAGAGAAGGUUACGUAAUGUUCUUUCUAGUGGAAAUACCCUGACUUAAGCAAGGUUUUUUGCUGGACGGGACGUUACAAAAACACUUUUGGUGAAUCUAGAUAAUU